rnacentral:rRNA from 1 species
AGGAUAAACGCUGGCGGCGUGCCUAACACAUGCAAGUCGAACGUCUCUUCUUUCGGGAAGAGGAGUGGCGGACGGGUGAGGAACACGUGGGAACCUGCCCUUUAGUGAGGAAUACCGGCGAGAAAUCGCCGACAAGACCGCAUAGCCCUCUUUGAUGAGAGUCAAAGAAGGAAAGCUUCGCAAGAGGCGCUAGAGGAGGGGCCUGCGUCCGAUUAGCUAGUUGGUGGGGUAAGAGCCUACCAAGGCGUCGAUCGGUAGCUGGUCUGAGAGGACGAUCAGCCACACUGGGGAUUGAGAACGGCCCAGACUCCUACGGGGGGCAGCAGUGAGGAAUUUUCGGCAAUGGGGGAAACCCUGACCGAGCAACGCCGCGUGCAGGAAGACGGCCUUCGGGUUGUAACUGCUUUUCUUUGGGAAGAGGAAGGACGGUACCAGAGGAAUCAGCCCCGGCUCACUACGUGCCAGCAGCCGC